CCUACGGGUGGCAGCAGUGAGGAAUAUUGGUCAAUGGGCGCGAGCCUGAACCAGCCAAGUAGCGUGAAGGAUGACUGCCCUACGGGUUGUAAACUUCUUUUAUAAAGGAAUAAAGUGAGGCACGUGUGCCUUUUAGUAUGUAUUUUAUGAAUAAGGAACGGCUAACUUCGUGCCAGCAGCAGCGGUAAUACGGAGGAUCCGAGCGUUAUACGGAUUGAUUGGGUUUAAAGGGAGCGUAGAUGGGUUGUUAAGUCAGUUGUGAAAGUUUGCGGCUCAACCGUAAAAUUGCAAGUGAUACUGGCUGUCUUGAGUACAGUUGGGGUAGGCGGAAUUCGUGGUGUAGCGGUGAAAUGCUUAGAUAUCACGAAGAACUCCGAUUGCGAAGGCAGCUUACU
rnacentral:rRNA from 1 species